rnacentral:lncRNA from 1 species
GGGAAAUGGCAAUUUGAAUGAAAAUCAUAUUACAUUGAUCAUAAGCAUUUUCUCAUGUAUAAAACCUUUGUUUUAUUCGUGCAUAGCAUGGUAAAAUGUCCAUACAUGUUCAUACAAAAGAAAUUUUAAAAAAUACAAUUUUUGCAUAAGUUGAAUUUUGGUCAACUAUUGACUUUUUGGUCAACUAGUUGACCAAAGUCAACUAAUCUAUUUUACAUCUCCUAAACACUAAUCCCUUUUCACCAAGUCAUCCUUUUCCACUUGAUUUUUUCCAUUUUCCAAUGUUACUUCAAGUACAAGCAAGUGAAUGUCAUGGCCUUGUUACAUUUUUACUUCAUGAAAGCAACUCUACAAAACCAUUAAAGCAAAGCAUCAUGCAUUAUUAGCAAUCCAUCAUUUACAUUACAUGAUAACCAUUUCCAAAGCAAAACCUAUCCCUACUUAACAAACAUUCCAUUUCCAAACACCUAGCAUUAACAUUCAUUUACUAAUCAUGCCAACCAAUCUAAACCAAUUCUAGCAACCACACAUUUCCAGACAUACUUAAUUGCCCAUGACAACAAGCACUCAUAGCAAGCCAAAUUCCAAAGCAUUCACAAGCAUAUAACCAUACAUUAUCAUGUAGCAGACCACACUUUUUUUCAUUACAAAUCACGAUUACAAGCAAAGCAUCAUCGCUAACAGCCCUGUCAUAUUUCACAGCCAAAACUAACCAUUUAACAUGCUAACUACUGACAUCAUAUGCGAUCAUUUUCACAACAUUAGCAUCACACCAUGUCCAUUUAACAUUCAAGCAUAACAAUGCAUCACAUCCAUAUCCUACAACACUAGCUAGCAGCAGCUGAACCAACAAUUCAUUGCAAUUCAUAUCAUUCAUCAAAACACUAACAGUUAACAAUUACACACAUGCAUAGUAGUCCAUAUUUCAAUGCACGUGGUAGGGUAUUUCAAUGCACACACCAAGAUCAUCAACAACAGGAAAAUCAUUCAUCAUCACAAACAUCCAAGCAACUAUUCACAUACGCAUAAUAACAGUUCAUUUCACAAAACCAAGCAAGGCAUUAACCUAGCAUAACAACACUUACAACUAACAUCAAUUAACAUUUCCAUCUAACAUAUAAUUCGAGUAUAACAGACUAAGAAUUAACUUAACAACUAACCUACAAUCUAACAGAAAAUCAAGUUUCAUUUCACUAUUAACUGAAUCAGCUUAACAUUAAACGAAAUUUAACUUCCAUUUAACUUCUAACAGAAAAUUGAAUUUAACAUUUCACUUUCAAUCCCCUAACUAACUCUCAUUUCCCAACUAAUUUUCGCUCUAACUAACUAACAUAGUUAGUUAACUGACAACAAACCUUGAGUCAAUUCCAAUAACCUGAACUGAUAGAGACUCUUCAUCCUUCACCUCAAUUCACACAUUCACUCAGAUUCUCAUCUUCAUAAUCCUUCAAUCUUCACACACACUCUCUCUCUCUCUCUCACGAAUUCACACACACUCACACAAGAUUCAAACUCAAUCUCAGAACAAAGAAAAAGAAGAGGAAGAGAAUCACGAGCUGAAGAAGAAGAGGAUUCAGAGAGAAGAAAGGUUCAGAAGAGAUACCUGAAAUUCUGGUGACCUUUGCGUCUUCUCCACCGGUAAGUUCUCGAUUUCCUUAGCCAUUUGAUUCAUGCUUGUUACCGGGAUGUAGAUCUGAGCUAGGGGAAUCAAAGCCCUAACCCCUAGGACUCUGAUUCCAGAGGACUGUGAUUUAAUUUCUCAUUUUGUUUCUAGGGUUCAUGUACAAUCUGUUGCGAUUCGUUUAACUGGUGAAUAAUUGUUAGAAAUGGAUAUGGGAUACGGACUUAGGGCAACGAUAGGAAGAAGAUGACAUAGUUUUUUGGUGGUUUAGGGCUCCGCCGACGGCGUCGGUGGAGGAGACUUUCAGGUGAGGAGGGAAUUUGAGUUUGAACAUUGUUUGGCCAUGUGAAAAACAUGGAUGGCACGUGAUUGUUGCUUCUGAAUUUCACUUCCUUCGUUGUGCAUUGGGCUUCAUGCUUCCCAGGCCCAAUUUCUGAUUUUUACACCCUACUAUGCAAGCAUGCUCCCCUGUUUCAUGAGCUUAAACUAGAAUGGGCUUGCCAUGGGCCAUGCGCCCCAUUAAUUUCUACAUCCUCUUUUUUCAUGUUCAAACCUCUUGCUCUAGGCUUUGUGGUUUAUUUUUUCCAUUUUUGUUCACAUUUUUUUAAUGGUAUUUAGUAUAUUUUGAUGCAAAUAAUAGAGAUUAACAUGAUUAGGUUUUUUAAAUUAGGAUUAAUAGAUUUGAUUAAUUACCAUUAAACCUUUUAUUUGUUUGGAAAAUACAUUGAAAAAUAUAUGAUUUAUUGAUUAGGUUUUAGCAUUUUAAUUCACAUGAUUAAAGUACUUGGUGAAUAUGGUUUAAUUUCAAUUUUAAUUUUGAUUAGGAAUACUAAAAUUGGUUUAGUAAUCUUUCUAUAUUUAAUUUACGUUUUUAAUCACAUUGACUCUUGUUAGACAUUGAUAUGAUUUUAUGAUUAGUUGCAUUUUUUAACCAAUGACAUGUUCCCUUAGUUCUAGAAUUCUUUAGAAUCAUCUUUAGUUGUUAAUCUGAUUAGUCCCUAAGGUGUUCAAGUCAUUAACUCCUUAUGCAUGAAUUUUCAAUUGAUUUCACCCUGAUUUAUUGAAUUGAUCAAAGUUCACUUUGAUCAAUUAAAUCCUUUGACUGUGCUCAUUUCCCCUAUUUAUUCAAGUGAUCAAAAGUCUCUUGAUAACUUGAUAGGACCAAUCCCUUGUACUGGAAUUGCACUGGAUCUCAAGACCUCAAUAAGCUCAAGACUUCAUAUCAAUAUAAGUCAUACAUUGCAGACAGUCUGGAUUACUAUUCAAGCACUACAAAGGUUCAUCUUCAACACUCGUCAAUUAUGACGCAAAUUGUGCGUCAUGAGCCUUAACUAGUAGAGAAGGGAUAAAAGGGAGCGUUUCUAUCCUCAUUCUGAAUAUCUUUGGAUAUGGAACGAAUGACCUAGUUUUUCAGAGUAUUUACCUCUACUCAUAAACUUUAGUGCAAUUUAAAUCGGAUAAUUGACAAGUCUUUCCACACAGAUGUUGCAGGCUAGAGAUCAAGAUCUCAACCUCUAGGGUUUAUUUUCCCCUUUAUUUUUUGUUCAGUUUAAGAAUAAAACCAUUUUUGUAUAUAAACUAAAAAAUACUUUAAAUUACGAUUAGAAUUAUGUGCCACGAGCCUUAAGAAAUGGAGAAGGGAUGAGAGGGGGCAUUCCUAUCCUCAUUCUAAAUACCUUUGGGAACGGGACGAAUGACCCAGUUUCUCAAAGUAUUCAUCUCCAUUUAUAGACUUUUGUAAAAUUCAAAUCAAGACACUAUUUUCAAGUAUAAAAGCAAACUCAACUCAUCAAAUUCAUGUUUUCCUUUGGGCAUCUUUUCAAACCUUUUCAAAACACCAAAUAAAUGG